AAAUGAAUUGACGGGGACCCGCACAAGCAGCGGAGCAUGUGGUUUAAUUCGAAGCAACGCGAAGAACCUUACCAAGACUUGACAUCGAGUGCAAGCCGUGGAAACACGGUCCUCCUUCGGGACACGAAGACAGGUGGUGCAUGGUUGUCGUCAGCUCGUGUCGUGAGAUGUUCGGUUAAGUCCGGCAACGAGCGCAACCCUUAUAGUCAGUUGCCAAUAUUAAGUUAGGAACUCUGGCUAGACUGCCGCGGAUAACGCGGAGGAAGGCGGGGAUGAUGUCAAAUCAUCAUGCCCCUUACGUCUUGGGCUACACACGUGCUACAAUGGGCGCUACAAAGAGCAGCGAUACGGUGACGUUGAGCGAAUCUCAAAAAAGCGUUCUCAGUUCGGAUUGAGGGCUGCAACCCGCCCUCAUGAAGCAGGAGUUGCUAGUAAUCCCGAAUCAGCAUGUCGGGGUGAAUGCGUUCCCGGGUCUUGUACACACCGCCCGU
rnacentral:rRNA from 1 species